rnacentral:rRNA from 1 species
GCGCAGCAGUCGCGAAUUUUUCUCAAUAGGGGAAACCCUGAAGGAGCGACGCCGCGUGGAGGAUGAAGGCUUUCGGGUUGUAAACUCCUGUCAUUAGGGAACAAUUGUCAGCGAUUAACUGUCGCGGACUUGAUAGUACCUGAAGAGGAAGGGACGGCUAACUCUGUGCCAGCAGCCGCGGUAAUACAGAGGUCCCAAGCGUUGUUCGGAUUCAUUGGGCGUAAAGGGUGCGUAGGUGGUAGACUAAGUCGGAUGUGAAAUCCCAGGGCUCAACCCUGGAACUGCAUUCGAUACUGGCCUGCUCGAGGACUGGAGAGGAGAUUGGAAUUCAUGGUGUAGCAGUGAAAUGCGUAGAUAUCAUGAGGAAGACCAGUGGCGAAGGCGGAUCUCUGGACAGUUCCUGACACUGAGGCACGAGGCUAGGGGAGCAAACGGGAUUAGAUACCCGCGUAGU